rnacentral:rRNA from 1 species
GAUGAACGCUGGCGGCGUGCCUAACACAUGCAAGUCGAACGAACAGACCAUGAGCUUGUGCCUUUGCUGUUAGCGGCGGACGGGUGAGUAACGCGUGGAUCCCCUACUUAUAUUACGGGGAUAAUUACGGGAAACCGGAUAUAAUACCAGAUAACAUGAUGAACCGCAGGGUUCAACGGAGAUACACGGCCUUGCCGGAUCUUAUAGCUGGUUCCGCGCGGGAUUAGCUGGUUGGUAAGGUCACAGCCUAUCAAGGGGACGAUGCGUAGCCGAACUGAGAGGGUGAUCGGCGGCACUGGAAGUGAGCCGCGGUCAAGAGUCCUAGGGGAGGCAGCAGUAGGGAAUGUGCGGCAAUGGGCGAGAGCCUGACGGAGCAGUACCGAGUGGGUGAAGGAGGUCUUCGGGGCGUAAAGCCCUGUUAUUGGGGAAGAACAGAUGUGGAAUUAAACAUGGCGGUCUUGACGGUAACUAAUGAAGAAGCAACGGCUAACUACGUG